rnacentral:lncRNA from 1 species
UACAGCAACUGCUGCAGUAUCACAAUAGGUUACCAAAAGCAGUUAAACAAGUCGGCUUUCCAAUUCAAGAUAUUGGUUUCAAAAUUGAACACCAUUGGCAAAAUGCUAACAAAACUAGGCUAUGCUUGGCUCCUCGGUGCUGUAAAUGGUGGCUUG